CUGACUUUUCCAGUGGUGUGAGUUACAGAAAAAAAUCCCUCUGAUGUUCAAGACCAUGAGACACAUGGACUUGGCAACCCGCUGCCUUUGGCCAUGUGCUGGCUCUGCUGCUACAUCUGAACUGCCCAUUUGAAGGAGAAUCUGUAGAACCUGUGGCCACUGGAAGACACCUGAGGCUUUUGGGCCUGGGUGGUCAGGUGAAGGAGAGAAGGCUAAUAGAACAAAAGAUGUAUCUUGGGCACCCAGGUUCUUCAGUACAGCUCUGCACCACAGGUAACCAUCCUUUCAAGACAAUGCCCACAAACCAUGUUCAAGCCUAAAGACAAAAAAGAGUGAAAAGGAAGCAUUUCAUGAACUUUCAUCUCUAGUUCCGUAUUUUAGUUCUUAUAGUAUUCUUAUAGAAUUCCAGGUGUAUAUGAAAAGGAACUCAGCAUUUUUGUUGACCCAAAGUUUUAUUUCACAUGAACUAUUUUAUGUUGGAAAGUUUUGCUGUUGGUUGAAAGCUGAUUAAAAUACAAUUAAAAAAAAAAAAAAAAGAGUCACAUUUUACAGUUAUUUAUGAGACUCUUGUCUCACACUUCGGUGUGAGGUCUGUGGUUUCUAGUCUAGACCAUCCAAGUGUGAAAGCUCUGUUUAUUUAUUUGUCUCCUAGGUGAUUAUGGCUAGCUUGGAUGAAUGCAUAAAUCAAACAGCAGUUGGUCAUAUUUCUUUUUUAAAAAAUCAAAACAAACAAGCAAACAAACAAAAAAACAACAAAAUGUGCAUAUGAAUAUACUGGACUGAAAAAAGAAGUUUUAAUACUGGGCUUUUGGAUUUUAAUGCUAUUGU
rnacentral:lncRNA from 1 species